AUUGAACGCUGGCGGCAGGCCUAACACAUGCAAGUCGAACGGUAACAGGAAGAAGCUUGCUUCUUUGCUGACGAGUGGCGGACGGGUGAGUAAUGUCUGGGAAACUGCCUGAUGGAGGGGGAUAACUACUGGAAACGGUAGCUAAUACUGCAUAACGUCGCAAGACCAAAGAGGGGGACCUUCGGGCCUCUUGCCAUCGGAUGUGCCCAGAUGGGAUUAGCUAGUAGGGGGGGUAACGGCUCACCUAGGCGACGAUCCCUAGCUGGUCUGAGAGGAUGACCAGCCACACUGGAACUGAGACACGGUCCAGACUCCUACGGGAGGCAGCAGUGGGGAAUAUUGCACAAUGGGCGCAAGCCUGAUGCAGCCAUGCCGCGUGUAUGAAGAAGGCCUUCGGGUUGUAAAGUACUUUCAGCGGGGAGGAAGGGAGUAAAGUUAAUACCUUUGCUCAUUGACGUUACCCGCAGAAGAAGCACCGGCUAACUCCGUG
rnacentral:rRNA from 1 species